UACGAAGGGGGCUAGCGUUGCUCGGAAUUACUGGGCGUAAAGGGCGCGUAGGCGGACAGUUUAGUCAGAGGUGAAAGCCCAGGGCUCAACCUUGGAAUUGCCUUUGAUACUGGCUGUCUUGAGCUCGGGAGAGGUGAGUGGAAUGCCGAGUGUAGAGGUGAAAUUCGUAGAUAUUCGGCGGAACACCAGUGGCGAAGGCGACUCACUGGCCCGAUACUGACGCUGAGGCGCGAAAGCGUGGGGAGCAAACAGG
rnacentral:rRNA from 1 species